rnacentral:sRNA from 1 species
GGUCCUGAGUUCAGUCUCCAGCACCCAGAGGGGCAUGGCGACAUAUGCGACAUGCUUACUAUCCCAGUGUUUCAGAGGGGAGAACGGGAUUCCUAGGGCCCACUAGCCUAUUCAGUCAGCUCCUGGCCACUGAGAGAUCUUGCCUCAAAAAAUAAAGGAACGACGGGAAGAAUAGGGGGGAGGGUAAGGGAGAGGAGGGAAAAGGAGGGAGAAAAUGUUAAGGAAGGGAAGGUGGGCAGACCUAAGGAUAGAGACCUGAUAGUGUCCUCUGGCCUCUGCAUGCAUGCACAUGCAGGUGUGCAUGUACACAUGCCCCAUGUGCCUGCACACAUAUAAGUGCUUAUAUGACCACAAACAGGGGCUGGAAGAGAAGUGGCCCAGAACAGCUAUGUAAUGUGAAGAAAGUAUAGCACUGAGGUCCUGGACUGCAAAGACCAUGCAAACUCAGAAUCCAACACGGUACACUCUGUGGAGUACCCAGUGUGCACGGUUGUAGUGAGAAUUUUGGUCUCUUAAAAAACCCAAUUAUGUUAGUGAAUCCCAGGUGUGGGAUAAGAGGCUGCUUCCCGGCAGGUGAUUAUGCUAUGCAGGGGUGUGGCUUUGCCAGCUGCAGACAGUUUCUGCGAGUGUUUGGAAUUCUGGGAACUUUUCAGAGGCUAUAGAUGGCAGAGCCCGGAGAGCGGCUGCUGGUUUCUGUUGCCACUGUUUGUCAAGUGGUCCUGAGAAGAAGAAAUUGGAGCUAUCCUGACGACAAAGAAGGUACAGGGGUGCUGAGUAGAAGGAACAGCCAACAUCUUUUUUAGAGCAAUUGCUUUGGAAGCACAUGGAUGUCCCAGCGAAGGCAGGAAGCACCACCAAACCGUGGCAUCCUGGCUCUGGGAUACAUCACAGCUUCUUGCUCAUUCCAGGAAGAUGGUGUUGGCCUGGAGAGAGGUUCACACAUGGACUGGUUUUAACUGGGCUUCUCAAGAUGCGUGUUUCUAUGUCCAGAGCAAGACUAAGAAAUAGCAUUGUUACAUUUCAUCACUUCCAGAGGGGAGAGGGGGCUACAGGUAAGAUGUCUUCCUUCAGAUCAAAUGCAAAAUACACGCCACCCGUUCCAACAUGUUACGUGGCAACAAGGCAUGCCUCUCAUAACUAAGGAUGUCCUAAAGAACAAGGGUGCCCAUCUGAACCCUAUUUGGAAGGUGGCGUAUAAAACAAGUCUACACUAAAGCCAGGCUCUUUUCCCCACCUUCACACCUUGAAUCCAUGUGGCUAAGAACCAUCAGUCUUAGAAAGCAGCCAGUUCUUCCCAUCGGCAGGGGAAAAUGAUGCUUCCUCGUAAUUAAAAGGUAUUUCUUCAGUGAAAGCCCAGUGGGAAAGUCAGUAGUAACAGUGUGAGAGAUCUAAAACCUUGGGAAUAAAAAUUUUCAAUUCCCCCAGGAAGCAAACUGUGCUCCUCAGAGGAAGCCAGUGACAAAGGGCCUUUUGUCAGUGACGACCCUGACUUAGGGAGGAUCAGUCUGAAGCUCUGAGUCAGCUCCUGGGACACCUCGCUGGAGGAGAUAACAAAGCCAGAACUGAGCUGGUCUCUGAAACUCUUCAAGGUCUCACCAAAUAUAGAGAAACUAACAUAGCAACCAAUCAAACUGGUACUAAUGUCACUGCUCCUCCCUUAUCAGUCAUGUUAGAGGCUACCCAACCCUUCCAGAAAAUCCCCCUUAGCUCUGUAUAAAAGGGGACCUGAGAGCCCCUUAGGUCAUCGCUGUUUUGAUAAAUGGUUGACUCCUGUGUGCUGAUAACUUCUGCAGACUAAACACUCUUUGUCUUUACACACUAUUUGAGUCUCGGGUCUUCUUCAGCGAUUCUUGGACGCUAACAGGUGUAUGUUGGCAGGGUUGGACCACUAGGGCCUGCUCACUGCUGUAGGUAGACUAUGCUGCAAGCCGGAUCUGUCAGUGGGACCUUUAAAGGGGUGGUGCUUUAAUGUUUUCGUAAAUGCUGUCUGAGGGAAAGUACAUAUCCAGAAACCAGCUUUACCAGCCGUCUGUAGGUGGCUGAACAAAAGAAACACCCAUAGGGGCUCUAACACAGUUUCUACUUACAAUGAGAUAUACAACAAAGGUCCCGACCACUGCCCUAAGGGAUAAAAGGAAUAAUAUUCCAGAGAUUGGAAAGGUGGUCCAGUGGGCAAAGGGCUUGCUGCUUAAGCGUGAAGACUCAAGCUUAGAUUCCCAGCAUCCACAUAAAAGCUCGAUGGGACUAUACACAUCAGUAACUGCAGCGCCGGAGGAUAAAGACAGACAUGCUCGUCAGUCAUGUCAGUCUACCAAAACCAAUGAGCGACAGGUUUAGAGAGACUCUUAAAAAAACAAAACCAAACAAAAACAAUGACGUUUCAACCGGGGGUUCCUCGUUUCCUGUGCUCAUGGCUAGGUUCUGUCUACCUGUCUGUUGCCUAUGGUCCCAGUUCCUGGUUCCUUUCUCCUAGUCCCCUAAUGCAGUGACCAGCAAACCAUGGCCUUCUUGUGUGCUAUUACUACUGCGGAAGACACCCGGCCUCUCCCCGUCCUGGUUGGGUAUGAUCUAGCCAUCAGCUCUCAGAUAAAAAGCCACAUCUGGGAGAAAAUUGUUCCUCAUUCAGUGAUUCAGCCAAGUUCUUGUGUUAAAUAACUUCCCAGAAUGACAUUUUUUUUUUUUUUUGAUGUUGCUGUCUCCAGACUUAACGCAGCCUGCCGGUUCAUACGUAUUCAUAAGUCUCUUUGAUAUUUGUCUUUUCCUGGAUCCAUGGAGAUUUUUUUGAGAGCAGGAAAUAUUGCCCAUUUAGUCUGAAUCGUGCCUCCACCUCCCAUGACACACUGAGGGGUAUCAAGCUGGUUAGUGGUAUGAGAAAAAAAAUGCUCGAAAGCACCUGCUAGAUACAGUAAGAGCUAAGCAAAAGCAGCAUGUGAGCCGAGGGGGGAGACCAUCCCUGUACCCUCUGUGCUCAGGGGGAUGAGAGAAAGACCCAACAUUUGAGACCAAACUGCUAUAGGGUUAGAACCUGUGUUAAAACAAGCAGGCAAGCAAGGGAAGGGGCUGAAGGUCCAUGUUAGAGCAUUUGCACAGUGGGGAACAGUGGGUUGGUCCCCUGCAUCAAAUGUUUAGGGAGAACAACAAAAGCAGUACAAGAUAAUUUCAUUUCCCUGAAAGAUGCGAUGCUACUUAUAUAUGAGGAAAACUGGACCCUUUUGCUGAAUAAAGGGAUCCGUCUUUCCAGGUAACACGAAACCAUGUUGGGCCUCAUGCUGGUAUCCACUGGCAUCAUUCAUACGGAUCUCUGAGCAGGUAACUUCUAAAUCAGCUCCCAUGAGGCUGCAGAGCAUACACUCCGGAGACCUGGUUGGGGGAGUAUUAUACUGUAAGCCAGAUGACUGAUCGCUGGCCAAGCAAAUUGUCUUUGAGCCCAAGCACGCUGGAGAUCAUGAGUUGGAUUCCAAAGCUCUAGUGCUUUUCUUAGGGGUUCUGCAGCAAACCGCCGUAGAACAGAAAGCCUGAAACAGCAGAAGGGCGGCUGCCAUGGUUCUGAGAAUCAGAAGCUCCAAAUCACUGUCACUGAGCUGAAUUCACCAGGGUGGGGAGUGGGGGUGGAGGCUCUGGUCCUUGCAUCUCCAUGCCUCUGGUGGGUGUUGUCACUUCUUGACUCGUGGCCCCAUCGCUCAACUCUCUGUCUCUCUCUUCAUAUCACUUUGUCUACAGUCUCUCAUAGAAAUAUGUAUGGUGAUAUGUUAGGUCUAAUCCAGAUAAUUUUGGGGUGACCCCCCAUUUUGAGAACUGUAAUUUAAUCACCCCUGCCAAGUCUUUACAGAUUGCAAAAAUUAAAACUCCAUCCCUCUGGGCUAUUAUUCAACCUACUACACUUGUCUUUUCAAAUCAAAAUGUAUCCACACACCAUAGCUCUGAUUUCUGUUUACAUAGGACAACUUUACUAACCAGUAUCAAUCAAUACUGAAGUGGGCUUAGACUAUGAGGCGACAGGACAGUAUGAGGUGAUGGCAGAAUGCCGACAUGGGUGUAUACUCCCCAGGUAACCCAUGCAUUUGUGUGCAGCUAGGGCUUUCGAUGUGCCUCUAUCUUAGAGAAGAUGACAAGGAUGGGCUGCCGUGACCCUGGUCAGCUUUCAUCAUAUGUCAAAGGCACGGCAGCACCACCCCAGUGAAUGCUCUCCCAUGGCAUCAGGACAGAUUGGAGAGAAAGGUGGCCUGCUGUUUUUGAGCUCUUUUGGAGCCAGCUGUGCGUGAGAGAGCUACAGGUGGCUGAGGGCUCAGUCCUACAGCUGUAGUGAGCCAAAAUCUCCCAGCAAGCCAGUGGGGACAAAGGAGGAAUCUGGGCGUCUGAAGAGAUCAUAGCCUGGGCCUGUACCUGAAUUUCAGCCUGGUGAAACCCUGAGCAAAGGGCCCAAUUAAAUUAUAUGAGAGUCCUGACCCACGGCCACCCAUGCGUGCUGAGUAAGCCAUUGCAUUGAUGGUAAUUGGCUGUGCAGCAAUAGAAAAUUAAUGUGCUUGUUUUGCAAGGGGUUUAUUGUUCAGAUCUGAGCUAGAGAAUAGAUAAGGGCAGACUACCCAAGCGAAGAGUCAGGUACAACACAUGCCCAGGCAGCAAGGUAUUCUGGGAAGAAAAUGUCCGCUGUGUAAGUGAGAUUGCUCAGAGCCAGGAAAUAAGAUUAAUGUUAACUACAAAAUAUACUGGGAGACAGGUUUGAGGGGAAUUAAGAAAUGGAGCAGGGAGAUGUUUAGCCAAGCCUUUCAACUGCAGGGAUGAAAGUCCGAUUCAAACAGGCCAAGCCACCAUGAACUAAUCCAACGAUGGACAUGGAAAGUUCAGUGGUUUCUGCAUCAGCCUGAUGCCUUCCCGGGUCUCUCUCUUACUCCCUCACUGCUCACUUUGAUGUGAGGCUGUCCCUUCCCAGUAACUAGUCAGGGGUUCAGCUGAUAGCUGACUUACUAAACAACCCCCAAGGUAAAGGGUUCUUCCUAGUCAUCCCAGCAGGACUUCCUGCUGUCUUCACUAGCUCUGACCCUGUCACACCUGACUCACAUGCCUGACUUUGACCCCAUGAGGAAGGGGACAGGCCUCAUCCGAAACCCAACCAGUACUCAGCAAAGGUCACAGACACCUAUUGCCUUACAGAAAAGAUGUUGGCUGCAUGUUCAUGCUCAGGUAAAAAGGGCCGAGACUGCCCAAGUGAGCAAACCAAGGAGUGGUAAAGGCGGGCUCUCUGCGUGGCAUCUGGCUUCACGUUCACUGCCACACCCAUUUUCCCAACAGCCUCUUGCAGCAGGCACACUGGCGUUGGAAGACACUCUGGCUUACAUUUUACCCAGUCCACUGACCUAGCAACUGGCAAGCACAACUCAAAUCAAGGCGCAUGGGUUUCCAAAGUAUGGAGUUAAAGGGUGUCUUUCUAAAGGAACUUUAACCAGACUAGAACAUAACACCCCUCUAGGAAGGCCCACUUCAAACCUUCCCAUGGGGAUUUAACAAGUGCCCUCCUUUCAUUUCCGUGCAGCAAUUCAUUGGCUAGGACUUUAGAGGAAAGUCCACGGGGCUCUGGGAAAAAGAAAGUGGAUCUCAGUAAGCCUAGGAAUUGUGGGGGAACAGAGAUGUGGAGGAGAACAGUCUGUGGAGGGCCAUCAGAAGCCCCAGCAUUGACAGCCAUGACAAUGCCAGAGGCAGACAAUGAGAGAGGAAGUCUGUGAAGGAAACAGGUUCAGGACUCUCCCCCUCCCAUGCCCUCACUCCCAUUGUAGGCACAAUGAGUCAACCUGGAGAGGAAGCAAACAGAGACUUCAUCCUCCCACAAACACCUCCAACUUAUCCCCAACAGGGACACAAGAGCAUGGAUAAGACAUAAACAGGCUCUCAUCCCCCACCUCCACAUACCCAGGUGUUACAGCUCCCAGCUCCACACACUCAGGUACUCUGUGGUACCCUGCUACCCCCAUCACACAGCAGAGAUUUCAGUCAGGGUGCCAGGGCGAACUUUCAAAGGCUGGUGUCAGCCUAAGAUGUGCUACUUAAUAACAGAAUGGCAGGCUGCCAGUGCAGCUCUGCUAGAGCGCUAGCUUGCCUGGCAUGCAGGAAGCCCUGGGUUCAGUGCCCAGCAUAGCAUAAACUGGACACAGCACUCAGGACAAGGAGACAGGUAGAUCAGAAGUUAAAGAUUAUCCUCAACCAUGUAAAGAUUUAGGGUUAGCCUGGACUGCAUUUAAAAAAUGCCAGAUGACUUAAUGCCCCUGGACUUUAGUAUAGGGUUGAGGUAGACAAUGAUGAUGAUGAUGAUGAUGAUGAUGAUGAUG